CCAAAGGCUCUUUUAAGAGCCACCCACUGAAACUAGAAAAGAGCUG
rfam:Phalacrocorax carbo contig131429, whole genome shotgun sequence.